AAGGGAAAAUCCAUAAAGUCCUUCAAAACACCAAAUAAAUGGCCAAGAAAAUUAUGGAAGGUUGGAAAUAAAUUAAGAAGCAUAUAAUAAAUUUUUACGAAUUUAAAAAUACACAAAAGUAUUUUUAAACCAAUUAAAACAAAGGAGAAAAGAGAAAUUCUAUGAAAAAUAGAAAAUAAAUAAAAUAAAAUAUGGAGAAAAAAAUCAGAUGGAGAAAAUAAAGG
rnacentral:lncRNA from 1 species